rnacentral:rRNA from 1 species
UACAGAGGGGGCAAGCGUUGUUCGGAAUUACUGGGCGUAAAGGGCGCGUAGGUGGCCUUCUAAGUUGAACGUGAAAUCCCUGGGCUCAACCCAGGAACUGCGUCCAAGACUGGGAGGCUUGAAUCCGGGAGAGGGAUGCGGAAUUCCAGGUGUAGCGGUGAAAUGCGUAGAUAUGCGGAGGAACACCGAUGGCGAAGGCAAUCCCCUGGGCCUGCACUGACGCUCAUGCACGAAAGCGUGGGGAGCAAACAGG